AUGCACUUAAAUGGCCAAAGUCUUAGUGUAGUGUAUGACCCGCCACAUUUAAUCAAAGGAGUGAGGAAUAACUUCUUGACGAAGAAUAUUAUAAUGGACGUCGAAGUGGCAAGACUUGGUGGACGUGUACCGCACGGACUGCCGCCACGCGCAAGCUCGCCUGCUGCGCAAGCUCAACGACGAGCACAUACUCCCGGACAAAAUCAAGAAAAUGAAGGUGAAAAACUGUGUGCGUGUUUUCAGUCAAACCAUGGCAGCAGCUUUAUCCUACACAGCUUCAUUUUCGCACUACGCGGACGGCACGCCUGUGAACGCUACGCUGUACAAAACGGCAGAGCUGGUGGCCUUCCUCGAUGACCUGUUCGACAGCAUCAACGGCGCCAGCACCCACCAAAAGCAUACAACGGAAAGCAAUUGCGGACUGCCGUAACUGAAAACUCAAAACAACGAUUUCUGGAUGAAGACGAUAGAAUUCCGUGAUAUCAACGGAAAAUUGACAAAAGUUCCGACGUUGAAAAAUUGGUUGACAACUUUAAAAAGCUACCAAAGGCUGUGGCAGGUCAUGAACGAAAAAACAUCAAGAUAAUGCGCCCGCGGUAUUUUAAUUCCGACGCAAUAGAAUUUUUUUUCGGAAGAGUGCGGGCUUGCAACGCCAGAAAUAACGACCCUCCAUGCUUUUGAGUGCACUUUUAAGUCACUAAUAGUGACUAAUUUAAUAAAAAUUCACCAAAAUACAUUUAAUUGUGAGGAAGACUGUGCUGAGGAAGUUAUUAAAAUUCAGUAGUUGUUUGCGCACACUGAAGAAGACAAUGCAAUGAUCGAGGAUAGUACCAUAUCGGUUGAUUCUGCGUCUUCAUCAUUAUCAACCUUCACCGAUCGUGAAGACGGCGCAGAACAAGUAAUCGUGCAAGCCACACGGGAGCGUCUGGAUGUACACUCACGGGCAUAUACCGCGGGAUGGGUCACAAGAAUAGUAUUAAAAAUAUUGAAAUGAUUGAAUGAUUGUGAGAAAGACUUAACAAUGGAAGAAACGGAUAUCCAAAAGCGAAUACAAUGUAAAAAGAAUAAAUUGACCUAUCCCUCGGAACAUGCUGUGAGGUUUUUUGGGAACAUUGUAGACGAAUCGAAUGAAUAUUUGGAACAAUGCCCAUAAAGCAAACAUCAAAAAACAAAUUACUCAAGUUGUACUUUCCAAAUAUUCAUUCGAUUUUGUCAAAUGCGAAAUGCAGCGUGUUUUAGCAGGGCAGACGUUUAUAUCUGUAUCUCUGACAUUGUCGAUCUUCAACUGGUGCAUUACUAUAAAUAAAAUUUUAAAAGGUACUGAUGUGUCACGACUGACCAUUAAAAACUUGUCUCAAAUGCAAGCACAGGCUUUCAGAAAAUAUAAAAAAAGGUUUAGAAAUAAAUGAUAGUGUUUA
rnacentral:lncRNA from 1 species